GGGCUCGUGGUCUAGUGGUUAUGACGUCUCCUUGACAUGGAGGAGGCCGCCGGUUCAAAUCCGGCCGAGCCCA
rnacentral:tRNA from 1 species